rnacentral:misc_RNA from 1 species
GAUGAAGAACGUAGCGAAAUGCGAUAAGUAAUGUGAAUUGCAGAAUUCAGUGAACCAUCGAAUCUUUGAACGCACAUUGCGCCCGCUCGAACUCCGGCGGGCACGCCUGUCCGAGCGUCAUUUCAACCCUCAGGCCCCCCUUCGCGGGCGGGCCUGGUGUUGGGGCCCGGCCGCUACCCUGCGGCCGUCCCCUAAAUUCAGUGGCGGCCUCGCCGUGAUCCCUUGCGUAGUAAUGCACCUCGCACCGGAGAGCGCCGUGGCCACGCCGUAAAACCCCCAAUUUUCAAUGGUUGACCUCGGAUCAGGUGGGAAUACCCGCUGAACUUAAGCAUAUCAAUAAGCGGAGGA